rnacentral:piRNA from 1 species
UACCAGAGGAAUGUCUAGAANAUGGGGGU